rnacentral:lncRNA from 1 species
AUAUGAACCACAGACUCCUAAUAUAAACUGUCUUUAGGCAACAUAAAAAUCUUUAGGAAUCUGUCAAUGAUAAUUCAUCUGCACUAAUUCUGACUCAUGUGCAAAGUGAAGCGUCCUAAAGUAAAGACACAACUGAAAGAGGAAUUAUUGGAAAUACAUUUUCAAGUUUUCCCAAAUAUGCAAUAUGACAUUUUGUGAAUAGUAAAAGCUCAGUAUAUGUCUAUUAAAUGCAAGCAGAGAGAGAAAUGGGGGAAAAUAUAUUCUAUACUGGAGCAAAACAGUAUUAGAUCACUAUAACUUCUUUCCAAUCAUUUUGAAUUAUGUAAGUUAUGUAUGAAAUAUUUGCUUUAUCUUAAAAUUUUUAUUUUUAUUUAACUUAUCUGAAAAAUUAUUUUCAGGGCAUGCAUACUGUAGUCAAAACCAAUAAAUGACAAUCUAUAAGAUCAUGCUAUCAAUGGAUUAAAGAGAAAUUUAAAGUUUUUUUAUAU